rnacentral:rRNA from 1 species
AGUGAACGCUGGCGGUAGGCCUAACACAUGCAAGUCGAACGGCAGCACAGUAAGAGCUUGCUCUUACGGGUGGCGAGUGGCGGACGGGUGAGGAAUACAUCGGAAUCUACUUUUUCGUGGGGGAUAACGUAGGGAAACUUACGCUAAUACCGCAUACGACCUACGGGUGAAAGCAGGGGAUCUUCGGACCUUGCGCGAUUGAAUGAGCCGAUGUCGGAUUAGCUAGUUGGCGGGGUAAAGGCCCACCAAGGCGACGAUCCGUAGCUGGUCAGAGAGGAUGAUCAGCCACACUGGAACUGAGACACGGUCCAGACUCCUACGGGAGGCCGCAGUGGGGAAUAUUGGACAAAGGGCGCAAGCCUGAUCCAGCCAUACCGCGUGGAUGAAGAAGGCCUUCGGGUUGUAAAGCCCUUUUGUUGGUAAAGAAAAGCAGCAGGUUAAUACCCCGCUGUUCUGACGGUACCCAAAGAAUAAGCACCGGCUAACUUCGUG